GACGAACGCUGGCGGCGUGCCUAAUACAUGCAAGUAGGACUCAGUUGCGAACGGGUGAGUAACGCGUAGGUAACUACCUAUUAGAGGGGGACAACUACUGGAAACGAUACCUAAUACCGCAUACUAGUAGAUGGACCUGCGUUGUAUUAGCUAGUAGGGAGGGUAAUGGCCUAUCUAGGCAACGAUGCAUAGCCGACCUGGGGGGGUGCUCGGGCACACCGGGACUGGGCCACGGCCCAGACUCCUACGGGAUGCAGCAGUAGGGAAUCUUCGGCAAUGGGGGGAACCCUGACCGAGCUACGCCGCGUGAGUGAAGAAGGUUUUCGGAUCGUAAAGCUCUGUUGUUAAGGAAGCGGUACUUAACCAGAAAGGGACGGCUAACUACGUGCCAGCAGCCGCGGUAAUUC
rnacentral:rRNA from 1 species